AAGGAUCAUUCAUAAUAAGUGUUCUACUGCACUUUUUAAAACAAGUACUCACCUUGUGUGCAAUGUUUGUUGUCGCGUCGCUCACGCGUCGCGGCAGCAUAAUACCAACCUUUUAUUUUAAUAAUUUUUGUCUGAAGCUAUUUCGAAUAAAUAAUUCUAAAUACAACUUUCAACAACGGAUCUCUUGGCUCUC
rnacentral:misc_RNA from 1 species